UUUUUUGGUAUCUUCCGCUCUGGGGCCGACUUAAAGCAUAGGUAGAGCUUCGUGAUGUCACCGCUGCUGUUUUCUAGCAGCGAGACCCAGCAGAGAGGCAGGAGCGGUGACAUCACAAAGCUCCAUCAAUGCUCCAAGUAGGCCCCAGAACGGAAGAUACAGCAGAAGAUAGCAUGUGAACCGGACCACGGAGCUGGAUCAGCCGUAUUAUACAGUUCAUAUUUCUAGCUCAGCGUUACAGGCAACCUAGCUAUGUUGUUCAAAGAUAUGUUGCCUAAAUCUCCCGGAUUACAGAACAAAGAGAAGACGGAGAGAAGGAGAUGUAGGAGCUGACAUUUGUGUUUCUGGAGGAAAAUCUCAUCAAGUGCUUUAAUCCACAUGAUACUUUCUAUAGAUGGGAAUAUCAAAUACUAAAACUUCAUAAAAGCCAAGACGGUGACAACUCAACAAAGGGAGACAGACAGCGGAAUGGCAAUUUAUGUGGAAGCCACAAACAGAAUGGAUGGCUUUGUGGGUUGUGUUGCAUAUCAUGUAAAAGAUUAGAUGUGAUAGGAUAUUUAUUAAACAUAUUACCGUAAACCCAAUUCCACAGCAGAGUACUAUACAAUAAAGUAGUAGGUUAGUGAAAAGGAUCAUCAUACUGUGUGUU